GAUGAAGAACGUAGCGAAAUGCGAUACGUAAUGUGAAUUGCAAAUUCAGUGAAUCAUCGAGUCUUUGAACGCACAUUGCGCCCCCUGGUAUUCCGGGGGACAUGCCUGUCCGAGCGUCAUUGCUGCCCUCAAGCACGGCUUGUGUGUUGGGCCCCGUCCUCCGAUCCCGGGGGACGGGCCCGAAAGGCAGCGGCGGCACCGCGUCCGGUCCUCGAGCGUAUGGGGCUUUGUCACCCGCUCUGUAGGCCCGGCCGGCGCUUGCCGAUCAACCCAAAUUUUUAUCCAGGUUGACCUCGGAUCAGGUAGGGAUACCCGCUGAACUUAAGCAUAUCAAUAAGCGGAGGA
rnacentral:misc_RNA from 1 species